AACGAACGCUGGCGGCAUGCCUAACACAUGCAAGUCGAACGAGACCUUCGGGUCUAGUGGCGCACGGGUGCGUAACGCGUGGGAACCUGCCCUUAGGUUCGGAAUAACUCCCCGAAAGGGGUGCUAAUACCGGAUAAUGUCUUCGGACCAAAGAUUUAUCGCCUUUGGAUGGGCCCGCGUUGGAUUAGCUAGUUGGUAGGGUAAAAGCCUACCAAGGCGACGAUCCAUAGCUGGUCUGAGAGGAUGAUCAGCCACACUGGGACUGAGACACGGCCCAGACUCCUACGGGAGGCAGCAGUGGGGAAUAGUGGAAAAUGGGAGAAAGCCUGAUCCAGCAAUGCCGCGUGAGUGAUGAAGGCCUUAGGGUUGUAAAGCUCUUUUACCCGGGAUGAUAAUGACAGUACCGGGAGAAUAAGCUCCGGCUAACUCCGUG
rnacentral:rRNA from 1 species